rnacentral:lncRNA from 1 species
GCCUCUGCCUCCCGAGUGCUGGGAUUAAAGGCGUGCGCCACCACGCCCGGCUUGUUUUUUUUUUUUUUUCCAGAUGAUGUCUUACCAAGAAUCUCAAAUAUAGGGGCUAGAGAGAUAGCUUAGUGGUUAAGAUCACUGGCUUCCCGAGGACCCAGGUUCAAUUCUACAUGGAGGGUCACAAGUAUCUGAAGUCCUAGUUCCAGGGAAUCCGACACCUUCCCAAUAGACAUACAUGCAGGCAAAACGCAAUACACAUAUUUUUUUUUUCAAAUCUCAAAUAUAAAUCAUAAAAGUUGACAGGCUGGUGGUAUACACCGUUAGUCCCAGUGCUAGGGAGCCAGAGGCAGGAGAAUCUUUGUGAGUUCAAGGCCAGCCUCGUCUACAUAGUGAGUUUCAACCCAGCCAGAGUUAUAAGGCGAUAUUCUCAUAUCAAAUGCCAUAAGUCAGGCAUAGUGGUUGCUCCUGUACCUUCAGCACUUGGAAGGGUGAGAUGGGCUGGCAGGUCACAGGCUCAGGACUCCUUGGUUUCUUCAGACCCAUUGGCCUUGAUGUAGAACACUUUUUAGAAGACCAUGAGGAAAACUUUGUGGUCGGGGGUUCAGAAGUCCAGAUAGAAGACAGAAAAAGAGAAGGUGGUUUAGGAAACUGACCAGGAAAAAGACAAAACAAAAUCCCCCAAAAACCCCAAAACAAACAAACACACACUCCAUCUUUUCCAUCUUCCUCCAGUUGGUGGCAUCAGGGUGACCUUGAAUUCUCCAAUUUCUGGUGUGAAAUAUCAGCCAAUAUUACAGAGUUUCUACAACAGUUGUAAAAGACCUCUCUGUCCAGAAUUGGCCCGAGCCCUAGGCCUGAUAAUAAAUAAGGCUCAGGGCAGGGCUAACAUGCCCUGGAUCCCUGGUCAUGCUUUCCUAACUGCUACAGUGAUAGCACUCAGUCACUGUGCCUGCUUCUGCUUGCUGGAUAGCCUUGAGGUGCCAUCUGGCUCCAUUCCCCCAUCUCCACCCCCCACUGCCAGUGGGACAGAAAGAGGUGGCACUCUUGGGACUGGCCCAGAGGCCUUUGCAAGUCUUAGCAGCCCAGGGAUUCGUCCCUGAUGCAUUUUCUGAUACGACUUGAAGAAGCUGUUACUGCAAGCUCUUCUCAGAAAAUCUGAGUGACUGCCCCAGGAAGACAUGGUCUAGAAGAAGUUCAAAACAUCCUUUAGAAGUGAGAACUCAGCUGGGAGGUGGUGGAGCAUGUCUUUAAUCUUAGCACUGGCGGGGACUGCAGAGGGCAGGCAGAGGCCUGAGUUCUAGGACAGCCAGAGCUACACAGAAAAACAUUCUCAAAACAAAACAAAACAAAACAAAAC